rfam:Pteropus alecto contig103789, whole genome shotgun sequence.
GUCUACGGCCAUGCUACCCUGAAGAAGCCCGAUCCCGUCUGAUCUCAAAAAGCUAAGCAGGGUCGGGCCUGGUUAGUACUUGGAUGGGAGAUCACCUAGGAAGACCAGGUGCUGUAGGUA